rnacentral:rRNA from 1 species
AUACGUAGGGUGCAAGCGUUAAUCGGAAUUACUGGGCGUAAAGCGUGCGCAGGCGGUUUUGUAAGACAGAGGUGGAAUCCCCGGGCUCAACCUGGGAACUGCCUUUGUGACUGCAAGGCUAGAGUACGGCAGAGGGGGAAGGAAUUCCGCGUGACGGAGUGAAAUGCGUAGAUAUGCGGAGGAACACCGAUGGCGAAGGCAAUCCCCUGGGCCUGUACUGACGCUCAUGCACGAAAGCGUGGGGAGCAAACAGGAUUAGAUACCCUGGUAGUCCACGCCCUAAACGAUGUCAACUGGUUGUUGGGUCUUCAUUGACUCAGUAACGAAGCUAACGCGUGAAGUUGACCGCCUGGGGAGUACGGCCGCAAGGUUGAAACUCAAAUGAAUUGGCGGGG